UCAAACUAAUUAUAAUAAUAAUUUCUUUUCAAUGUAAAUGAAAUACUUUUACAAGCUCUAAUUUG
rnacentral:tRNA from 1 species